rnacentral:rRNA from 1 species
AUCCCUCCGUAGGGUAACCUGCGGAGGGAUCAUUACACAAAUAUGAAGGCGGGCUGGAACCUCUCGGGGUUACAGCCUUGCUGAAUUAUUCACCCUUGUCUUUUGCGUACUUCUUGUUUCCUUGGUGGGUUCGCCCACCACUAGGACAAACAUAAACCUUUUGUAAUUGCAAUCAGCGUCAGUAACAAAUUAAUAAUUACAACUUUCAACAACGGAUCUCUUGGUUCUGGCAUCGAUGAAGAACGCAGCGAAAUGCGAUAAGUAGUGUGAAUUGCAGAAUUCAGUGAAUCAUCGAAUCUUUGAACGCACAUUGCGCCCUUUGGUAUUCCAAAGGGCAUGCCUGUUCGAGCGUCAUUUGUACCCUCAAGCUUUGCUUGGUGUUGGGCGUCUUGUCUCUAGCUUUGCUGGAGACUCGCCUUAAAGUAAUUGGCAGCCGGCCUACUGGUUUCGGAGCGCAGCACAAGUCGCACUCUCUAUCAGCAAAGGUCUAGCAUCCAUUAAGCCUUUUUUUCAACUUUUGACCUCGGAUCAGGUAGGGAUACCCGCUGAACUUAAGCAUAUCAAUAAGCGGAGGAA